AUCGCUUCUCGGCCUUUUGGCUAAGAUCAAGUGUAGUACAGUAAACUACAUUUUUAACUUUUCAAAAAAAAAAAAGAAAAAUCAACUUUAAGAGAGAUGGUGUGGUGACUUUAUGCUCUGCUGUGCAUAUCACAAUCCUU
rnacentral:snRNA from 1 species